rnacentral:rRNA from 1 species
AUUGAACGCUGGCGGCAGGCCUAACACAUGCAAGUCGGGCGAGAGGCGGACGGGUGAGUAAUGUAUGUGGAUCUGCCUGAUGGCGGGGGAUAACUAAUGGAAACGGUAGCUAAUACCGCCUACCAUCAGAUGAACCCAUAUGGGCAUAGCUCGUAGGUAAGGUAACGGCUGACCUAGGCGACGAUCACUAGCUGGUCUGAGAGGAUGAUAAGCUACACUGGGAUUGAGAUACGGCCCAGACUCCUCUGGGAGGCAGAAGUGGGGAAUAUUGCACAAUGGGCGCAAGCCUGAUGCAGCCAUGCCGCGUGUAUUAAGAAGGCCUUCGGGUUGUAAAGUACUUUCAGUCGGGAGGCGUUACCGACAGAAGAAGCACCGGCUAACUCCGUGCCAGCAGCCGCGGUAAUAC